rnacentral:rRNA from 1 species
GAUGAACGCUAGCGGGAGGCUUAACACAUGCAAGUCGAGGGGCAGCACAGGUAGCAAUACUUGGUGGCGACCGGCGCACGGGUGAGUAACGCGUAUGCAACCUACCCUUAACUGGGGAAUAGCCCGAAGAAAUUCGGAUUAAUGUCCCAUAAUAUAAUUGAGUCGCAUGAUUUGAUUAUAAAAGCUCCGGCGGUUAAGGAUGGGCAUGCGUGACAUUAGCUAGUUGGUGAGGUAACGGCUCACCAAGGCUACGAUGUCUAGGGGGCCUGAGAGGGUAGUCCCCCACACUGGUACUGAGACACGGACCAGACUCCUACGGGAGGCAG